rnacentral:tRNA from 1 species
GCCCUGGUGGUCUAGUGGCUAAGAUUCGGCACUCUCACAGCCAUGGCCUGGGUUCAACUCCCAGUCAGGGAA